GUGGCAAUAAAGAGGAUGAAAUCGAGGAGGAGGAACAUGUUUUUCCAAUUAGUCACAAACCACCCAAGCGGAGCUUCUCAAAACUGGCCAGUGGUUUCCCCAUUACCAAAAAUUCCUCUCCCUUUCUUUCUCCAUAAAGAAUUUCACCAGGGUUUUCAAGCGGCUUUGGCACUAACAGGCCAUACGCACAGAAUACACAGAAUGCCCCCGGCCCACGCCCCG
rnacentral:lncRNA from 1 species